rnacentral:rRNA from 1 species
UACAGGGGGUGCAAACGUUGCUCGGAAUCAUUGGGCGUAAAGCGCACGCAGGCGGUUUGUUAUGUCGGAUGUGAAAGCCCUUGGCUCAACUGAGGAAGUGCAUCCGAAACUGGCAAGCUAGAGUACUAAAGAGGGUCGCGGAAUUCCCGGUGUAGAGGUGAAAUUCGUAGAUAUCGGGAGGAACACCGGUGGCGAAGGCGGGUCUCUGGGCCGAUACUGACGCUGAGGAGCGAAAGCGUGGGGAGCGAACAGG